rnacentral:lncRNA from 1 species
AGGGUUAUUACCACCACCAAACAGGACAGCAAUAUAAGAGGAAACGUUCUCGAAUUCCAGGCAGGAAGACUUUCUGUCCCAUUUUCCUAUUGCCACAAGGAGCCAAGAGACAAGUGUAUGGCUUCCUUCCUUCAUUCUCUGUGUCCCCAGUGGCCAGGGAUGCCCACUGUGGAGGCACCCGGGGGCGCACAGUGUCUUCAGACGCCUGCCUGCAGCCAGUGACAUAUGAAGAUCAUCUACAUCUUUCUUUACCGCAACAUUAGCAAAUCGAUUUUUUUAAUUGGCUUGAUUUUUAAAACCACUUAAACAUACAAACUAGCAUCAAAUUUAUACUUACAAAACAAAAAAACACAACUAUGUCAACUUAGUAACGAAUGGGAGAAGCACCAAGGAAAAGUGACGGCAGGACCCAAUCCUAGAGCGCGUUUCUGGACUUUAUUCUGUGACUAAGGUAUUUUCCUCUUUCUCAGCUAAAACGUCCGCGCGCGCCCGCGGGGCUCACCUUCCAAACAAGCAGGUGCUGAGGCUCAGGGGAAAGUGGGGACCGUCGACCCCGCUCCUUUUGAUAGUAACCAGGCGUCUCGUGGGCCACAUUUUCUAAACAGUAAGUUGAGUAUAAUCCGUAGGGGAAGGCCAGGUAUAAUCCGUAGGGGAAGGCCAGAAGCAAAUUUACAACUCUUCCACUGCAAAAGAGGUGCGAGUUACUCUGAUAGCAAAGGAGCUAAGAAGGGCCCCGUGCCCAAUUCACCUAUCCCCGGCCACAGAAGCGCACACCGCAGCUAGCUAGCGGGGACCCCAGGACGAUCCGACCGCAGCCCCCGGCGCCCCAAAGUCCGGCAGCUGGGGUGUUGUCGCCAGCGCCUGCGCCUCCUGGGAGCUUCCACCGAGACGCCCUCGCCAGAGCCCAGGAGGAGUCGGGCCCAGGCCGCGCGUCUGUCCCCUGCCCGUCCCCGCAGAGCUCGGGGGGUCCCCGCGGCUCAGCCCUCGACCCCGGACAGCUCCCAGGAGUCCCGGCCGCAGCUCACCUGGGACGAUCCGGCCCGCAAGGCCACUUGUCGAACCACCGCUCGUCAAGUCGCACCCAAAGUCCGCCGCAGGAGGAGCCGGCGCCGCGCUCACCUCCGCCCGGACCAAACAUCUGGGACACUAUAACAUUACUCAUUGCCAGAA